AUUCGUAAAGUAUCUAAUAUAUACGUAAAGCUUUGUAUUCACAUCGACGAAAACCGAAAGAUAACCAUGGCAGCAAAUACGCGUCUAACGCUUUUUAAUGGGUUAUUCAGAUGAGCUAAGAAAAUAAGGAAAUUCAAUGUGCGCAUCUUCCCACAUCGACCCAUCCCCAAGCGUCUUCCCACAGAGAUCCAUCAGUUGAACGGAUGAUCCAUAAGGUUUUGUCAGCACCCGCGUGCGCGUGGAGAAACCGCCCGAAAUCCAAAACAAGGAAGAACGCUAUGGUCGAGUGCCUCGACUAUGAGAUUCCCUUUACUCAGCUUAAGGAAGCCAAAGAAGCCAAAAUAGAGAUAUAUGUAUAAGCAGCAAAGCUAUAUUUUAGGGCACCACCUACCGGCUAUUUCAGAAGAUGUUAUUUGGGCAGUAGACAGAUUUAAGCGUUUAAGCCGUUUGUGGGUGUUAGAGUGGGCGCAGCUAGACUUGGCAGCUAAUAUCGAGCUGGAGGACACGUUAACUAAGGGACAGCUGGAGGAGCAAUUAGAGACAUUGCCAGGAUGCUGGCCGCCUUUCUGCACUAUCAGCGGUACAACUCCGUUCGCAUUCCGGCUCCAACUUCCGCCACGGACCAUUGGUUUUUUGACAAUAUUGUUUAAAAUCCUUUACAGAUUAGGUUACCCCGAUACGAUUUUUAGGCUCCCAAAUCGACCACCACUUAACAACAAUUGCAUUAUAAAUUCUUUUGUCAUUGUU